rnacentral:lncRNA from 1 species
UAAAAUUAACUCAUUACUUUGAUCAUAUGCUGGUGUAGGUUGCAUAUUUUAAAAUUACAUUUUCCAAAUGGCCCAUCUCAUUUUUCAUACAAAUGAUAUAUUUCAACUCCAUGUGAAUUUUAAGUAGAAAAUUCUGUUGUUCUACAAAUGGAAAGAAAUGGACUCACAUUUCACAGAAUACAUUAAUGAAGAAGGAGGCAGACACACUUUCUCCCAAUGACAUCAAAAGGAAGAUAGAGACAUCGAGCAGAAAACUUUUUUUUAGUAGAAGGAUAUUUGAGUUUUCUUCUAUAAGUUGAUCUCUUGAGAUCAGUUGGGGGAAAAAGAAAACAUUAUUCUUAUGCCCUGUUUCUGGAGUGAGAUGAAGAACAGAAUUUCUUUCCUGAAGAUUUAAUCUGGGUCAGUUUAAACGCUGGCCCAGGCUAGCUCCUUGGGGAGGUUUCUCCUGAAAGCCCCACAAGAGCUCCUUGAGUCCAGAGGUGGGGGAGGAAAAGGGCCCCACUCUAUAAACAGAGCCUCAGGAUGACAAUCCAAUCAGCCCAGAAACUAGCCGGGCCCUCACUUAAAUUUAAUGUCUCUGUGUUUGCACUGAUAGUGCUAACAAGCCAGCCCAGGCCCAUCAGCAUCAGGAAAUUUCUUUUAAUUACACAAUGAGAGCACUGUGCAAACCCCUCCACACUGCAGGUCGGUGCCACAUCACACAGGGACAAGGGGAGGCUCGAGGGUGGAGGCUGCUUUUUGCUGAAGAGCUGAAGAUUAUCUGUGGGAAUUCUUUCAAAGCAGCAGAGGUGAUUAAAAUAUAUUUAGCACUCAUUUCUCUCCUGCUUUCCUCCUUCAUCCUCACAAAUAUCACUGGAAGAGGAACAAUGCAUCAUUAAUAUCCUUGAUCCUCCAUUCCGAAUAAGGGGAGGAAGUCUUCAUUUGCACAAGCUGUAGAGGCAGGGAGAAGGACCCCACACUGAGGUGUCCUAUUCAGGGUCAUGUAAAAAACCAAGCCAGGCAAUCAGCUCCAUCUACUUCAGGCUCUAAAUAGAGUUUUUCUUUUGGGAGCAUGGUAGAGGGGGUUCUCUGAAUUUUAUGAUGCUGGUUUGUUUUUGUUUUGCUUUGAUAGGUUUGCUUUUUUGAAUUUUUUUUCUAUAUCAAUUCUGAUUUGUUAUGUUUUUUAAAAAAAUUUUAAUAAACAUUUGACUGAUCUGAGGUUGUUGAAGUGUGAACUGGGAUAAGAACAAAAAAGCAAUAUGUUAUUUUAGGAAGGUAAGAAAAGAAAAAUUAAGUGGCAGGAUUUUUUUUUAAUUCUAGCAGCCCUCAAGAGUUUGUAUCAAGCUAUAUUGGGGGUUGGUGGGAGAGGAGGGACAGGGAGAGAGAGGAGGGGGAGCAAGAGGAGGGAGAGAGAAUGUUCAUACAUAUCAGAUUUCGGCUAAUGGCUCCCCUGCUAACAGUGGGAAGCAAAAACUUGAAGUAGUCAGUGUAAGGUUUGGAGGUUCAAGCUUCAGUUUUCACAAAAAUGCCAACUUACUCCAAGAAAAGAUUCCUUAGGCCAGAGCAGACAGAGCACCUCUACACUAACAUGAAUAUGAUAUGCUUUGAGGGACCCAAAGGAAAAAGGUCCCACCCUUAGGUCAAACUUUAAAAAUGCCAUAUUCAUAACACAAAAAACUCCAGCCUAUUGGAAUGCUGGCUACAUCACAAUAUCACAGUUUCCAUUUAUUCGAAAUUACCAUUUAUUAGAAAUUAACCAUCCCCCCUAUACACACACACACACACACACACACACCCUGAAAGGGCUUUCCUUGUCUUAAGCCUCUGUGUAUGAAACACUCUGGAACCCACCGGCCUAGGUGUUAGAACAGCACCGAAGUUGCCAGGGCCAGGGGUCCAGCCAUCCUGACCUCUGCUAGCCACCCUGCAAGGGCCGAUGUUCCCACGCAGGAGGCCCCAGGGAGGUGGUACUGAGCAACCGGCCACACCCAAGGAAACAGCUCAGAGCUCAACUUCCUCCUGAAUUAGGCCACACCCGAGGCCUCCCGGGUCUCAUCCACGCCUCUGGGUCCAUCACUAAACAGAAGGCACAAUCCCACUAACUCUUACUCCAUCGCUGCUCAUGAAACUCCUGCCAGUAAGGACUGGGUCAAGCACCUGAAAACCAGAGCUCGUCCGUGGCUUCACUUGUUUUGGACUAAGGAGCUGAGGAGCGUGCAAGACUGUACUUGGAGAAUCUGUUUCUUGCUGCCAUUUCGUCACUGAACACUAUUUUUUUUCUCCUUCUUUUUUUGUAAGAAAAGGAGAACACAUAAAACCCCACCAGAACAAACUCCACUCGGCCCUGAAAGUAUUUACAAUCACGGCCCUGAAAGUACUGAAAGUAUUUACAAUCACGUUACAGUUCAUUCACUGCUGCAGAACCUCUCUCCAGCGAUCAAGGUCGAAGGGAGCCGACGUCGCCCUCUAUCGGCUCCCUGCUGCACUAGAAGGUAAUUUAAACGAAAAGGCCCUUUGAAGCCAGUGUUCUCUAUUUUCUUCGAAACUCCAGGUUUUGGGGGCUUCUUUUCUGUUUGUUGUUUGUUUGCUCAGUCUAUGUUUUGAUUUGCUGGUGAGGGAAGGCAGAGAGAGGAAGUGGAGCAGGAGCCCAGCGCGUUUCUAUGGCCACCGCGACCACAGGCAGAGGGGGAGCCGUAGCAGGAAAGGCCAGGCCGCGCUCCGCACUGCGGGGGCCACGCCAACCUCCAUCCGACUCCCACAGAAGCGCCCACAAAAGGCACUUUCAUCACGUCCAGUGCCCGCUCCUGGGCCCACGGAAUGCAUUUGUUUUAGAGUCUCUGCAGAAACAAUGUUUCCACAUGCCAGCCACGCUCCGCAGACAGAAAGUUUCUUUGUGUUAGUGCCUGGUGUGAUGUGACCUCCACUGGUACAGCAUAGCCCGCCGCACCCCGGGGCCACAGCACUCUUCCAUCCCGCAGCCGCAUGAACCCCAGAAGGAGCUUCCACUGCAGGCAGGAGGCAAUCAUGCUCACCCUCUUCCACAGCCGGACUCACUCAGGAGGCCCUUCAUCUUCAUGUUCCCCACAUAGCAGAGGGGAGGGCAGAAGAUGAGAGGGAGGAGAGAGCAGAGCCAAGAGCCUCCUUUUCUCCCACUGUGCCCCUCCUAUGUGUGGCUCUGGACACCAGGAACCACCCAAGGACAGUGGGACUCCUCGAAAAGAUAAUUGCUCAUGAGGGAUCCAAGAGCAAGGCUUGUUACAUCCUAUAACCUUCACACAAAAUAUUGACUGAGAAUCCUCCAUGUGCCAAGUACUGUUCAAAAACACUGGGAACCCAGCAGGGAUGAGCCACAAGUUUCCUUGUCUUUACGAAGCUUUCAUUCUGAGGGAGUGGAGAGAGACAAGCAAUAAACAACCAAUCAAAACAAAGAUGACUCCUCUGAGUGUUGUGAUAUGCGGGUCAAGGAGGAUGGCUCCCAGGAUGUGACCUCAGAGCAGAAGCCUGGAGGCUUGCCAGCAGCGGGAAGAGCAGCGGCAGGGCACUGCAGGCAGAGGUGACCAAAAGCGUGAAACCUUGAGCUGGGAAGCACGUGGUCUGCUGGAAAGUGGGCUGAUGUAUUUGAAGAGAGCAAGGAGCAGAAUGGUACAAUGGGGUGAUGGGGGAAGAGCCAGGCAGAGCCCAGUGCUGCAAAGCCCGGUAGCACAUACAUGUGUAACGUACCUUGAAGCAAAUGAAUGGCCUGAUCUGGUUUCUGUUUUGGCUGCUCUGUGGUGAUGUGGUGCCUGGGAGGCAAAGAAGCUGGGAAAGAAGCGGUUUUUCUCUUCUAGGUACUUUAAAGCUCUAUAAUAUAUGCUCAGGUGAAAUUUGGCUGGUAUUUUCAGGGACUUCACUGCUUUUGUGCCAUACUGGCCUCAUCAUGUAGAUAACAUCACGGAUUCAUUCCAUCUUAUUAUUCUGUAAGAGUGAUGUCUAAUUUUUUUAAAAAAGAAUCAGCUUUAAAAAAUGCAAAGUCUCAUAGAAAGUAACUCUUUUCUAUUUUAAGCAAGCAUUCAGAAUAUUAGCAGUGCUAAUCAGUACCUCACUAAACAGUUAUGACUGAUUCUAAGUGCAAAGUGGGGAAUGAGAGUAACAGAGAGUAUUUACUGGCUGCUAAAAGCAGGUACAAUGGGGAGCAUGCUAGAGAAACUGUCUCACUGAAUCCUCGGAUGACCCCAUGGUGUAGGUAAUACUGGAGAAACUGAGGCUGCAGUGGCCACAUGACUUGCACAAGGCCACCCAGUAAGAAUGGGAUAGAACAAGAGCCCAUGUCCAUAACCCCUCUCCUACUACGCUAAGGUCAGGGUGGCCCUUUAAGGUGACCAAAGGGUUAGAAAUAACAAACAAGAGUGGAUGAACCUAGGUUUAUUUUGUCUGGAGGAGAGAAAUCUUUGAGAGUGAUUAAUUAAAGCAUAUUCAGGAUAUUUUUUAAAUAAACGGAGAGAGCUGUUCUCCAUCAUCCCUAAUGGUAGAAGAAAAGGCCUUCACCCUCAGCCUGGCAGGUGAAGACAGAGAUAAAGAAUGUGCAGACUGUGGGAUCUUGCUGGGAGGGAGGCAGGACUCACCUACCUAGUCUGUCUCUGAUGCAUUUCUUUGGAAAAUGCAUGUUGACAGUGCUUCUAAAAGUAAUCAUAUGAGCUGCCUGAAAAGGUCAACUUUCAACUCUGGUAAAGAUUGGGAUGCCUUUUCCAGAUUAAUUCCACAUUGGUGUUUGUGGGCAAUGCUGAAACAAAAGAAAAUCCAGGCUAGCCAAAACUUUUCACAUAAAUAGUGACAAAAGCAACCGAGUGGCUGGACAGAUUUGAGACAGGAACAGCCCGAGGACUACAGCAGGGGCUCCCAGUCUGGAGACUCUAACAUAGAUCUCCAGAUGACCCCAAUGACUGGGAAUUGCUUUUACUCUGGACAGCCUGCUGGGCGGCCCCAGUUGACUGUCCCGGGUAUGUCCCGGGUCGCUAACCACUUUGACUGCCCCUGAGCCACAGAGUCAGGCAGGAGUCAGGGACACGUAGGUACUCUCUUCUCCCUGCCCCUCACCUUCCUUCAGGGCCACCUCGGCCACAAAGGCUGGCUCCACAUCAGUCAGCUACUCAGACAUGCUCUCGCCUCACCUCCU